AUGGCUCAGGACGAACGCUGGCGGCGUGCCUAAUACAUGCAAGUCGAACGGUCUUUCUAUGGAAGCUUGCUUCCACUGAGAAGAUAGUGGCGAACGGGUGAGUAACACGUGGGUAACCUGCCCAUAAGAGGGGGGAUAACAUCCGGAAACGGGUGCUAAUACCGCAUAGUUUUCUUGAUCGCAUGACCGGGAAAGGAAAGACGGCCUUUGUGCUGUCGCUUAUGGAUGGACCCGCGGCGUAUUAGUUAGUUGGUGAGGUAACGGCUCACCAAGACGAUGAUACGUAGCCGACCUGAGAGGGUGAUCGGCCACAUUGGGACUGAGACACGGCCCAAACUCCUACGGGAGGCAGCAGUAGGGAAUCUUCCGCAAUGGACGAAAGUCUGACGGAGCAACGCCGCGUGAGUGAAGAAAGGUUUUCGGAUCGUAAAACUCUGUUGUCAGAGAAGAACAAGUUGGAGAGUAACUGCUCCAGCCUUGACGGUAUCUGACCAGAAAGCCACGGCUAACUACGUGCCAGCCGCAGC
rnacentral:rRNA from 1 species